AAUGGUAAUGAUGUUGUUGACAUGUAUCUGGUUAAUUUGGGGAAGUUUGUGUUAGAUAUAGAAACGUCCUAUGUUUUAAAGAGCCCUUGAACCCCUCAGUUUAUUUUUAUGGUUUGGAUUUGUUCAGGCAGGUGUCAAUCAUUGUAUUGGUCAUUGGGGAUUAACCUGUCGGAAGGUCAGGGGGGCGGGAGUGAAAAGAAGCUGCGAGAAGAAGCUGAAGAGACUAUGUUAUAUGGAAGAAAACUUAAAGUUAACUUGAAGAACAGUUUUACUAUUAACCGUUUGCAACCGGGCGUUUGCGUGAGGGUUUGUUUAUUUUGCUUAAGAGUGUAAACGAGCGUGCUUUAGAACUGUGGCUUUUUGCUAAGGGGCUAACGCAAGCUGACCACGAGUACGGGGCUGUUUUGCUAGCGGUUAGCAUAACCAACUGCGUGUACGGGAGAGGCCAGGACAAGGACGGACUUUGCCACGUGCUGCAGCAGAGGAGUUGGUGUUGGACCGAGCAUCUAGACGGGUUCCUGAUCGUGUUGCUGCCUGUUGCCUGAUUCGGGUGUGAGUAUAUGGACUUUUCUUUUGAAGAGGAUUUCUGUAUGAGCUCCAACAAGCGCGCAAACACUGGUACCAGUAACUGAACCUUCCAAAAAAAACCCGGGGUAUUAGUAUAGGGUUAUAAAGCUGUGUUUUCAUGUGUUCAUGGGUCAAUCUAAGGUAAAAUGAAAAAAGAGAGCUGAGUUAUAUUGUUUAGAAAUAAAACGGAUUAAUAUUGCUCUCAAAUCUUGUCUUUCCAAUGUUUUUUCAUGUUGAUUGUAUUGUUUCAUAUUGAAUAAGGGUUAUAGUUACAGUUGAAAUAUACUGCAUGGGAAAUCAAUGCUCAUUGCCAGUAUAGUUACAUUAAUAAACUAACCAGGCCUCUUGGCAUCUUAGCCAGAGUCAUCUUUGAGUUGUGUUUAGUGUACACCAUUCCAGAAACUAUAUUUCGUAGCUCUCACCAUUUCACAACCCAUGCAGUAACUUGUAUAUGUUAAAGGGACAUUCUAUAAAAGUAAUUUAGUCAAACCAGAUUUGAGUGAGAGGGCUACAUAAACAAAUAGACUAAAUCCAGGGUUGCACAGUGAAAACAAACGCGUGGUGACGUUUCCACCUUUCUCCAUCAAGCGAUUAGUUAGCAGAGUGAUGUUUGAAGUUUUUCUUGAGUGACAGUCGACCCUGCUCCUCAUCCACAGCCACAGGUGAGUCUUUAAAGAGACGAGCAGUUUUACAGACAGACAGAUUCUUCUGUGUGUCCUCAGAUGUCCUGGGUUAAUUCAGGAGUUAUGUGUUUUGUUAUUGGACACAUUGGAUCUGGAGAUGAAACCAAAAAAUCAAAUCCACCAAAUGUCACUGAAAUCUGUUGACGGGGGUUUUGGCAGAUUUCCUGUUAAACCAGUGAACAGACAAACAAACACAAGCAUCUGUUUCUGUGGCUCUCUUCUGUUUAUGUCUGAGACGAUGUUUAUCAGCCGUGAGCAGCGAGAGAGGAGGAAGAGCGGCUCCGCAAGGAGUGAUGGGAGGUCACCUUGGCCCCGGCGACACACAUCAUCCCCGGAGUGAGGCGCUUUUUAAUUUCUACCUUCCAAUCGAGCCUUGAACCGGCUUUCAAAGAACUCCAUAAACCAGUCGGCUGCAAAUUUGAACAUAAAUCCAGAGAUGAAAACCGAGAUACCUGCAAGAGACUUUCCCCUUUCGGAUUUCCAUUACACACACACACACACACACACACACAGGAUGUGAUAUGUAGUGACACGUCUGAGUGGAGCUGAGACACAAAGUGAGUGAAGCGGGGAAUGUAUUUAAUGUAACACCUACUCAUCUACAUCAGAAACAAACAAGUCAACAACUCCUCAGACGCACACACACACACGCACAUAAGGGAAAACGCACACUGCAAUUGUUAUACACUCAGCCAUGUUCUCAUGCAGGCACCAACUAUUAAUCAGGAAGAGACUAAAAGAAGAGACUUAAUUCUGAUACAUAAUCACCUUGAAUGAAACGUUCCAUGACCUUCCCUCCUCUGGGAAUUAAUAUCCCACCAGCGGGAGAUGAUGGAACCAAUCUGACGCACUGGUAUAACCUCUGGGGAACAUGAUAACACCAUGUCCUGUCCAUCAAUUCAAAUUAAUAAGUAAUUAAAAGUCUAAUAGCUUUGUAACGUGCGCUGUGCACUUGCUGCCACAAAGAUAAAGGACUGGAGAGGUUUUUCUCCUCCGCUGUUAUUCCUCAAGAUCGGGGAUCAUUACUGGGAACAAUGGGCAGAGUGGCGCUGAACGGGUUGCUAGUUACUGGCUUUCAUCUCCCGAGCGUUCUCCUCUUUCCACCGGAGCUGCGUCUGCAAAGACCGACUCAUCUCAUCCUGUCGACCACUGCGAUGCACUGAGGCCUAAACUGGAACCAGUGUUAAUGGAAAAACCAGUGCACUCCACAGAGCAGGUUGUGAAGUGAUGUGAUCGGGCAUCGGUCUGGUUUGUAAGCGACGCAUCAACGUGGCCACGGUUAAAUGGAAAAAGCUUUUCAAGUCGACUGGCAAUAUGUACCUGUGUGUGUGUCUUUGUGUGUGUGCGCGUGUGUGUUUGUGUGUGUGUGCUCUAUCAGUGAUUGAAACACUGAUCAGAAAACAGUAUUAAACAUUUUAUGGGCUCCCCUCACAGAUAUAUCACUAGAACAUAGAAUGAUAUGAAAAUGAAAUAAAAUAAAAUGAGUUGGAUUUAGUGAGUAGAGCAAAACAAACAGAAUCUGUAAUAGAAAAAAACAACAAAAGAAAGUUAAAUAAAAAAUAUGUAAGUAACAGUAACAUUUAAGCAAAAUAGAAUAAGCUCAUUCAAAUCGGCAAAAAAAUACAUUUAUAUAAAUAAAGACAUCAAAGCCAGACUGAACAGGUGAGUUUUUAAUUAAUAUCUGGACAGA